GCCCACGUGGUGCAAUGGUAGACACGGCUGACUUAGGAUCAGUUGCCAUUCGGUAUGGAGGUUCGAGUCCUCUCGGGGGCA
rnacentral:tRNA from 1 species